UCGCCAUCGUUUUCGAAUGCAAAAUUAGUUCGUGAUUAUUGAAAGCAAUUAAAAUAUACUGUUUCUUGUGACAUAAAAGCUUGAAAUAAGUAAUUAAAAUCAGCAGGGAAAAGUUCGGUCAGUUGCGAUACCACUUCCAACACGGUGAAGCUACAAUUUAUUAUUCGGAUUAAUAAAUUCGGAUUCUGGCGACAAAUUAGGUUGAUCCGCUGAACCAGUAUUGUAGAUUCAGUUUGACGACGAGCAGGUUCGCUUAAAAGGUAGGGUAGUUGAACCGUACUUCAACACCCAAAACCAAAAGGAAUCGAGGAGCAUAGGUAUUCAGGAAGGAAACCAGUUUAUUU